rfam:Corchorus olitorius cultivar O-4 contig02744, whole genome shotgun sequence.
GAGCCUUGCGGAGAUGGCAUGCCUCCCUUAACCGCCGGUCUGCGGAUGACGCGUCCGGCUGAUGAUGCCUACAAGUUC